rnacentral:rRNA from 1 species
GAGGAACGCUGGCGGCGUGCUUAACACAUGCAAGUCGAACGGAAAGGCCCUGCUUUUGUGGGGUGCUCGAGUGGCGAACGGGUGAGUAACACGUGAGUAACCUGCCCUUGACUUUGGGAUAACUUCAGGAAACUGGGGCUAAUACCGGAUAGGAGCUCCUGCUGCAUGGUGGGGGUUGGAAAGUUUCGGCGGUUGGGGAUGGACUCGCGGCUUAUCAGCUUGUUGGUGGGGUAGUGGCUUACCAAGGCUUUGACGGGUAGCCGGCCUGAGAGGGUGACCGGCCACAUUGGGACUGAGAUACGGCCCAGACUCCUACGGGAGGCAGCAGUGGGGAAUAUUGCACAAUGGGCGGAAGCCUGAUGCAGCAACGCCGCGUGCGGGAUGACGGCCUUCGGGUUGUAAACCGCUUUCGCCUGUGACGAAGCGUGAGUGACGGUAAUGGGUAAAGAAGCACCGGCUAACUACGU